rnacentral:rRNA from 1 species
AGAUUGAACGCUGGCGGCAUGCCUUACACAUGCAAGUCGAACGGCAGCACGGGGGCAACCCUGGUGGCGAGUGGCGAACGGGUGAGUAAUGCAUCGGAACGUGCCCAGUAGUGGGGGAUAACUAGUCGAAAGAUUAGCUAAUACCGCAUACGACCUAUGGGUGAAAGCGGGGGAUUCGCAAGAACCUCGCGCUAUCGGAGCGGCCGAUGUCUGAUUAGCUAGUUGGCGGGGUAAAAGCCCACCAAGGCUUCGAUCAGUAGCUGGUCUGAGAGGACGACCAGCCACACUGGGACUGAGACACGGCCCAGACUCCUACGGGAGCAGCAGUGGGGAAUUUGGACAAUGGGCGCAAGCCUGAUCCAGCCAUGCCGCGUGCGGGGAA